GCCCACGUAGCUCAGCUGGAUAGAGCAACGGUUUCCUAAACCGUAGGUCAUGUGUUCAAAUCACAUCGUGGGUACAA
rnacentral:tRNA from 1 species